AUCUUUGGACCUCUUGCUAAUAGAUGAGCCUAGGUCGGAUUAGCUAGUUGGUGGGGUAAAGGCUCACCAAGGCGACGAUCUGUAGCUGGUCUGAGAGGAUGGCCAGCCACACUGGAACUGAGACACGGUCCAGACUCCUACGGGAGGCAGCAGUGGGGAAUAUUGGACAAUGGGCGCAAGCCUGAUCCAGCCAUGCCGCGUGUGUGAAGAAGGCCCUCGGGUUGUAAAAGCACUUUAAGCGAGGAGGAAGGUCAUCAUACUAAUAUUAUGAUGAAUUGACGUUACUCGCAGAAUAAGCACCGGCUAACUCUGUGCCAGCAGCCGCGGUAAUACAGAGGGUGCAAGCGUUAAUCGGAAUUACUGGGCGUAAAGCGCGCGUAGGCGGUUUGUUAAGUCGGAUGUGAAAAUCCCUGGGGCUCAACCUAGGCACUGCAUCCGAUACUGGCUAACUAGAGUGUGGGAG
rnacentral:rRNA from 1 species